rnacentral:rRNA from 1 species
AGCAGCCGCGGUAAUUCCAGCUCCAAUAGCGUAUAUUAAAGUUGUUGCAGUUAAAAAGCUCGUAGUUGAAUUUCGGGAUCGACGGGUCGGUCGCGCCUCCGGUGUGUACUGGCCCUGUCGGUUUCUCCCUUCUGACGAACUGCGAUGUCAUUAAUUUGGUGUCGUAGGGAAUCAGGACUGUUACUUUGAAAAAAUUAGAGUGUUUAAAGCAGGCACACGCUUGAAUACAUUAGCAUGGAAUAAUGAAAUAGGACGUUUGAUCUUAUUUUGUUGGUUUCUAAGAUCGACGUAAUGAUUAAUAGGGAUAGUUGGGGGCAUUAGUAUUCAAUUGUCAGAGGUGAAAUUCUUGGAUUUAUUGAAGACUAACUACUGCGAAAGCAUUUGCCAAGGAUGUUUUCAUUAAUCAAGAACGAAAGUUAGGGGAUCGAAGACGAUCAGAUACCGUCGUAG